rnacentral:rRNA from 1 species
UACGGGGGGGGCAAGCGUUGUUCGGAAUUACUGGGCGUAAAGGGCUCGUAGGUGGCCAACUAAGUCAGACGUGAAAUCCCUCGGCUUAACCGGGGAACUGCGUCUGAUACUGGAUGGCUUGAGUUUGGGAGAGGGACGCGGAAUUCCAGGUGUAGCGGUGAAAUGCGUAGAUAUUGGGAAGAACACCGGUGGCGAAGGCGGCGCUCUGGACCGAGACUGACGCUGAGGCGCGAAAGCGUGGGGAGCAAACAGG